rnacentral:lncRNA from 1 species
UAGCAACAUUUUUCCUCCAAACUUGGAUCUGGUUAUCUUUGAGAUAAAGUUAGUGUCUUGGAUCAGGAGCACUAUAGAGGGGAAGUAUGGAAGCACUAUAAAUCCUCCUAAUUUGGGAGGGGUUGAAAAAAAAAACCUGAGGAGCUGGUCCUUUAUCAUGAAGAGAUGUUUCUUAGAACAGUUAAGUUGCCACGUUGAGGAGCUGGUUC